rnacentral:lncRNA from 1 species
GUUUCUAGAGCUCGGAGGCUGCUGGUAGGGGGAAGUUGUACCCGUCAGCACCUGCUGAGGGCUUUGUUGUCCAAACCCUGACAGGUAAAAAAAUUCCUGCAGAAUAAAGCCAGACCAGCUGGCUUUGAAGAGAAACCCCCCAGUUUGGGCUGCGUUUGCCUCCUCUCCUUUUCUAUGAAGACCGAGGCUUUGCCCCCUUGAUCGUCAAGCCGUGAGAUGCGUGAUCUCUCUGCACAAGUGUCUGGCAGGCCGAGGUGCACCUGUUUCUGUCACUCUGGAGUAAAUUUAGCUGUAAAGGGCACCACUUUCAGAUAAAAACAUAGACCUGAAUGGCAUCAUCCAGUAUCCAAGGAAACCAU